GGGGAUGACUGGUUUUGACAGCAUAUGAUGACGGAUGGCAAGCAUGCCGAGCUUCGUGACCUGGCUCGUUAAUCUCAGAUCUCAAGCCUAUAAAUGGCAAUAACAACUAUGCACUCGCUGCGUAAUCUAGACUAAGUCAGAUUCCUUAAUCGAGCCGGCCAGGCCGGUAUCGACGAGUAUCCCGCCGAACUUUAAGCGGUCUAUGUUCGGCAUUCGGGGUAUCAUUCAAGCCCGCUGCACGCGACUACUCCUCUACAUCGCGUUAAGAUACCGAGGAUAAGGUGGUGGUGGCAGGCCUGCAAGCAGUCACCUCCCGACAAUCAACAGCAGGAUAAGCAUGUAGAAACCCUUCUGGCGCUAUGUUUGGACGGCGGUUCGACUCCGCCCAUCUCCACAA
rnacentral:tmRNA from 1 species